rnacentral:misc_RNA from 1 species
UUCUCGCUGGAAUGCGGUCAUACAAAAAGCCGGAGCACGGGAUGUCCGCGUUCCGGCUUUCUGUCGCAUUCCGUGGUGCUCGAUGCCUGAUGUCUCAGGAAGCCGCCGCCUUGGGCCGGCUGCGCGAGUUACGCUGGAAGAACAGCGCCUGGCUUGCCACAGCCGACACCAUGGCCGGCUGGAACGGUUUCGAGAUCAGGAAGGCCGGUUCAGGCCGCUCG